rnacentral:rRNA from 1 species
UACAGAGGCCACGAGCGUUUAAUCGGAAUUACUGGGCGUAAAGCGUGCGCAGGCGGUUAUGUAAGACAGGUGUGAAAUCCCCGGGCUUAACCUGGGAACUGCAUUUGUGACUGCAUAGCUAGAGUACGGUAGAGGGGGAUGGAAUUCCGCGUGUAGCAGUGAAAUGCGUAGAUAUGCGGAGGAACACCGAUGGCGAAGGCAAUCCCCUGGACCUGUACUGACGCUCAUGCACGAAAGCGUGGGGAGCAAACAGG